GUCCUUAGCAGAGAUGUUUUUGUAGAAGCACUGUUAUUUGCUUUUUCUGGGUAUCUAUUUAGAGGUGGGUUUCCUCCCCAGGUGGCCCUCUGAAUGGAGGUGGAAAAGGAGAUGAGUGAGAAGGGAAUUUAUAAGUACUGUCCAGGUGCAGCAAGUCGGGUACAUGGCCCCUUGCUUCACCUGCAUUUUUAGAACCAGAGAGGACAGUGCUUGCUUCCUCUCAGCCCAGAAGAUGGACUCGGAUCCUCUGCAUCGGUCAGCUAAGACAACUUCUGUGAGAAUAUGUUUUCUAAUGUGGGACUUUUCUUGGAGGAAAACCUCUGAAGCGGAAAACCCAUAAUCUGCUUAGGAUGAAGACAGAACCCCGAGAAAGAGCAAAAAGUGAUGGUUCUGCAUAGUUAUUAAUAACAGGACGAGGAGGCUCUGAUGUUCAAACUCGUCCCUGAAACGCAGCAAGACCUCUCAGCUUCAAAUCCCCAGCCCGACUUCAUGAAUUUUAUUUAUGCAUUCAUUUAUUUGUGUGAUGUCUGGUGCCGAGCCGCGGAUGAAAAAUUAAAACGUAAAUUCAUCAGCAGGACCCAGAGCAGAGCUGGAUUAAAAUUUGAACUCCUGAACUUCGAGGCCCCUCCUGCCACAGAGAAAACAAGAGCAUCAGCUGAGCUCCACAAACAAAGGAAGAGCUUCUCUCUCCUCCCACAACAACAGGCGAAAAGGCAGACCUGAGAACACUCAGGCUCCAAAUGUCACUCACAACAUCCCAAACCAAAACAAAAGCAAUGCGCCAAACAGCCACACAAACAGAGGCGGGCGGGACAGGCUUCUAGUAAGCCCUGGUCAGUUGCCAAAAUUGGCUUCUGGCUGCUGGCCCUGCGGGAAUUACGUAAUUCCCAGAUAAGGGCCCUCAACUUCAAAUUUCAUCCUCUCAUCUUAGACUUUUACUCUGAAGAGCUGGCAGCAAAAAUAGGUGAGAAUCUCACUUCCACUGAUGCAGUGAGGCUGCUGAUUUCUAUUAGGCAAUUUUGUUGUUCAAGUCAUUGGGAUGGUGUUGGAAGGAAAUGCCAUGUUUGUGAGAUAAUAGAAUAACCCCACCCCCACCCCUGCCAAAGUAACCGCAUUGCCCUCCAUCUUAUACUCUUGGGUCACCCACGACCUGAUUCUCUGAGAUCAGUAAAUGCGAGUGUCCGCAGUGCAGAACCUUGCAUAUUUCACCCUUCCACAGUGGGAUGGCAGGCUGUGGCCGAAGAACAGAGCUGAUGUGCUGGGGUCUUGCUAAAGAGAAACAGGAGGCAUAGGAGAGAGUUGAGGCUGGUGGCUGCUAUCAGAAGACAUAUUAGUGAAAUGACCCCCUGAGAACCAGGUACCUUUCAGAUGUCCUCUCAUUUCCUACUCACAACAGCCUUAUGAUUCUCUUUUCAUAGGGGAGGAAAUUGAGUCAAGGAUAAAGCAGCCUGCCUGUAAUCACACAGCUGGUUAGUGUGGCUGAGGCCUGAAAGACUUCAAAGCUUAUUCCAUACCCCAGGCCAAAAAAGCUCUGCUACAUCAAGU
ensembl:lncRNA